rnacentral:rRNA from 1 species
GACGAACGCUGGCGGCGUGCCUAAUACAUGCAAGUAGAACGCUGAAGGAGGAGCUUGCUUCUCUGGAUGAGUUGCGAACGGGUGAGUAACGCGUAGGUAACCUGCCUGGUAGCGGGGGAUAACUAUUGGAAACGAUAGCUAAUACCGCAUAAUAGCAGUUGUUGCAUGACAACUGUUUGAAAGGUGCAAUUGCACCACUACCAGAUGGACCUGCGUUGUAUUAGCUAGUUGGUGGGGUAACGGCUCACCAAGGCGACGAUACAUAGCCGACCUGAGAGGGUGAUCGGCCACACUGGGACUGAGACACGGCCCAGACUCCUACGGGAGGCAGCAGUAGGGAAUCUUCGGCAAUGGACGGAAGUCUGACCGAGCAACGCCGCGUGAGUGAAGAAGGGUUUCGGAUCGUAAAGCUCGGUUGUAAGAGAAGAACGGGUGUGAGAGUGGAAAGUUCACACUGUGACGGUAUCUGACCAGAAAGGGACGGCUAACUACGUG